CUAAGAAUAUUCCACAAUGGACGAAAGUCUGAUGGAGCGACGCCGCGUGGAUGACGAAGGCCGAAAGGUUGUAAAAUCCUUUUGCGGAUGAAGAAUAAGCGGUGGAGGGAAUGCCAUCGUGAUGACGUUAGUCCGCGAAUAAGCCCCGGCUAAUUACGUGCCAGCAGCCGCGGUAACACGUAAGGGGCAAGCGUUGUUCGGAAUUAUUGGGCGUAAAGGGCGCGUAGGCGGCCGCGUAAGUCUGAUGUGAAAACCCCGGGCUCAACCCGGGAACUGCAUUGGAAACUGCGCGGCUUGAGUCACGGAGGGGGAAUCGGAAUUCCUGGUGUAGGGGUGAAAUCUGUAGAUAUCAGGAAGAACACCGGUGGCGAAGGCGGAUUUCCAGCCGAUGACUGACGCUGAGGCGCGAAAGUGCGGGGAGCAAACAGGAUUAGAUACCCUGGUAGUCCGCACUAUAAACGAUGCACACUAGGUGUCGGGACGAGCGUCUCGGCGCCGGAGCGAACGCGAUAAGUGUGCCGCCU
rnacentral:rRNA from 1 species